GCCUUUAUAGGUAAAAAGGCGUAAAGGGUGUGUAGGCCGACAAUUCCCCCCCAAGGUGGUAAAUGGAAUUUUUCUGUAACGGUAGAAUGUGUGGAUAGAAAAUAGAACCCCAAAGGCAAAAGCAAUUUACCUCGGGGAAGGGGGGUGAAAAUCUGAUAUUCCCGAUCGGGACCUAUCACUCCACCCCCCCGAGCACAGGCUGAAACACGAGGGUGUGGGUAACAAACAGGAUUAGAGACCCUGGUAGUCCACACUGUAAACGAUGAAGAAAAUGUUAAUGCAACCCCGAAAGGUAGUAAUCUUCCGCCUGAGUAGUACGAUCGCAAGAUUAAAAUUCAAAAAAUUUGGCUGUUCACUGUUUCGAUUAGAGGAGCGUGUAGUUUAAUUCGAUAAACCGCGAGAUACCUUACCCAAACUUGAAUCACCCAUCCGAGAUUGAAUGGUCUCGGGAGGGUAGACCGGUAUUGCAUGGCCGUCGUCAGUUCGUGUAUGAAACCUUUAACGGACCUAACCCGGGGGGUUAGCCGCGGAUGAAGUCAGGUCUUAUGAUCCCUAUGUUUGGGGAUAAUAUGCGCUACAUUUUCUUAUACAAUGGGAAACCUGAAAGGUGAAACCCCAAAGUAGGAGUUCGGUAGGUCAUUGUAAGAUGACCGAAAGUUGAAUUUAAUAGUAAUCGGAAAGUAGAGCGUUCGGUGAAAUGAUCU
rnacentral:rRNA from 1 species